GACUACUGGGGUAUCUAAGCCUGUUCGCUCCCCCAGCUUUCGCGCCUCAGCGUCAGUUACGGUCCAGGAAGCCGCCUUCGCCACCGGUGUUCCUCCACAUAUCUAUACAUUUCACCGUUACACGUGGAAUUCCGCUUCCCUCUCCCGCACUCCAGUGCGCCAGUAUCCAAGGUCCCCCACCGGUUGAGCCGAUGGAUUUCACCCCGGACUUAACGCGCCGCCUGCGCGCCCUUUACGCCCAGUAAUUCCGGACAACGCUCGCCACCUACGUAUUACCGCGGCUGCUGGCACGUAGUUAGCCGUGGCUUCCUCCAGAGGUACCGUCCUUUCUCUUCCCCCUAGACAGAGCUUUACGACCCGAAGGCCUUCUUCGCUCACGCGGCGUCGCUCGGUCAGGCUUUCGCCCAUUGCCGAAAAUCCCUCACUGCAGCCCCCCGUAGG
rnacentral:rRNA from 1 species